GGCGCUUUGACGGAGUGGUUAACGUGCUGCCCUGCUACAUAUGUAUUGUACCUAGCAGCAAAUCAAGGCAGUUCCUUCGGGAGCGCAGGUUCGAAUCCUGCAGGCGUCG